CAAUGAAAUCCGCCCUUACGGGUGGGUGAAAUAUUGCUUCGCAAUGUGAAAUACGCCUGCGGCGUGUGAAAUU
rnacentral:sRNA from 1 species